rnacentral:rRNA from 1 species
GAUGAACGCUGGCGGCGUGCCUAAUACAUGCAAGUCGAGCGAGCAGACGAGGAGCUUGCUCCUCUGACGUUAGCGGCGGACGGGUGAGUAACACGUGGAUAACCUACCUAUAAGACUGGGAUAACUUCGGGAAACCGGAGCUAAUACCGGAUAAUAUAUUGAACCGCAUGGUUCAAUAGUGAAAGACGGUUUUGCUGUCACUUAUAGAUGGAUCCGCGCCGCAUUAGCUAGUUGGUAAGGUAACGGCUUACCAAGGCAACGAUGCGUAGCCGACCUGAGAGGGUGAUCGGCCACACUGGAACUGAGACACGGUCCAGACUCCUACGGGAGGCAGCAGUAGGGAAUCUUCCGCAAUGGGCGAAGGCCUGACGGAGCAACGCCGCGUGAGUGAUGAAGGUCUUCGGAUCGUAAAACUCUGUUAUUAGGGAAGAACAAAUGUGUAAGUAACUAUGCACGUCUUGACGGUACCUAAUCAGAAAGCCACGGCUAACUACGUG